CUACGGGAGGCACCAGUGAGGAAUUUUGCGCAAUGGGGGAAACCCUGACGCAGCAACGCCGCGUGAGUGAUGAAGGCCUUCGGGUCGUAAAGCUCUGUCAAGUGGGAAGAACCCACCCUGUGCUAAUAUCACAGGGUGCUGACGGUACCACUGAAGGAAGCACCGGCUAACUCCGUGCCAGCAGCCGCGGUAAUACGGAGGGUGCAAGCGUUAUUCGGAAUUACUGGGCGUAAAGGGCGCGUAGGCGGCCUUUUAAGUCAGAUGUGAAAUCCCGGGGCUCAACCCCGGAAGUGCAUCUGAAACUAAGAGGCUUGAGUAUGGGAGAGGGAAGUGGAAUUCCUGGUGUAGAGGUGAAAUUCGUAGAUAUCAGGAGGAACACCGGUGGCGAAGGCGACUUCCUGGACCAAUACUGACGCUGAGGUGCGAAGGCGUGGGUAGCGAACGGGAUUAGAUACCCCGGUAGUC
rnacentral:rRNA from 1 species